rnacentral:rRNA from 1 species
GACGAACGCUGGCGGCGUGCUUAACACAUGCAAGUCGAACGGAAAGGCCCUGCUUUUGUGGGGUGCUCGAGUGGCGAACGGGUGAGUAACACGUGAGUAACCUGCCCUUGACUUUGGGAUAACUUCAGGAAACUGGGGCUAAUACCGGAUAGGAGCUCCUGCUGCAUGGUGGGGGUUGGAAAUUUUCGGCGGUUGGGGAUGGACUCGCGGCUUAUCAGCUUGUUGGUGGGGUAGUGGCUUACCAAGGCUUUGACGGGUAGCCGGCCUGAGAGGGUGACCGGCGACAUUGGGACUGAGAUACGGCCCAGACUCCUACGGGAGGCAGCAGUGGGGAAUAUUGCACAAUGGGCGGAAGCCUGAUGCAGAAACGCCGCGUGCGGGAUGACGGCCUUCGGGUUGUAAACCGCUUUCGCCUGUGACGAAGCGUGAGUGACGGUAAUGGGUAAAGAAGCACCGGCUAACUACGUG